AGACCCGAAACCCGGUGAUCUAGCCAUGGGCAGGUUGAAGGUUGGGUAACACUAACUGGAGGACCGAACCGACUAAUGUUGAAAAAUUAGCGGAUGACCUGUGGCUGGGGGUGAAAGGCCAAUCAAACCGGGAGAUAGCUGGUUCUCCCCGAAAGCUAUUUAGGUAGCGCCUCGUGAAUUCAUCUCCGGGGGUAGAGCACUGUUUCGGCUAGGGGGCCAUCCCGGCUUACCAACCCGAUGCAAACUGCGAAUACCGGAGAAUGUUAUCACGGGAGACACACGGCGGGUGCUAACGUCCGUCGUGAAGAGGGAAACAACCCAGACCGCCAGCUAAGGUCCCAAAGUCAUGGUUAAGUGGGAAACGAUGUGGGAAGGCCCAGACAGCCAGGAUGUUGGCUUAGAAGCAGCCAUCAUUUAAAGAAAGCGUAAUAGCUCACUGGUCGAGUCGGCCUGCGCGGAAGAUGUAACGGGGCUAAACCAUGCACCGAAGCUGCGGCAGCGAACGUAUCACCCAAGACAACUUUACGGAGUUGACGAUUGACGGAGCGAAGCGACGUCAAAGCGUUCAUUAAAGUCGAGUUGGCUUAGGGAUACGUUCGUUGGGUAGGGGAGCGUUCUGUAAGCCUGUGAAGGUGUGUCGUGAGGCAUGCUGGAGGUAUCAGAAGUGCGAAUGCUGACAUAAGUAACGAUAAAGCGGGUGAAAAGCCCGCUCGCCGGAAGACCAAGGGUUCCUGUCCAACGUUAAUCGGGGCAGGGUGAGUCGACCCCUAAGGCGAGGCCGAAAGGCGUAGUCGAUGGGAAACGGGUUAAUAUUCCCGUACUUGGUGUUACUGCGAAGGGGGGACGGAGAAGGCUAUGUUGGCCGGGCGACGGUUGUCCCGGUUUAAGCGUGUAGGUGUGUGUUCCAGGUAAAUCCGGUUCACUUUAACACUGAGGCGUGACGACGAGGCACUACGGUGCUGAAGCAACAAAUGCCCUGCUUCCAGGAAAAGCCUCUAAGCA
rnacentral:rRNA from 1 species